rnacentral:rRNA from 1 species
AUGCUUGCCCGCAUCAAAACAUUGGAACAACACAAGCGCCUAAUCAAUCAGCUGAAAUGGUGGAGCACGUCUUCUCUGGGAAAGCAAAAAAGCUUCACGGAGCCGUCCAAAGAUGAGGGAACUGCAGCACAUGCCCACUGGGAAAGCAAAGCUUCAUGGAGCCGUCCAAAGAAAAGGUCUAGCUCUGCACAUGGUGACUUGCGUUCUUUAGUGUUCCUAUGUUCAUACUACACUGGGGGUAAAUGUAUUAGAUCUUUUGGUCACAUGUUGAAAACUUAUGGUGUGACUGUUCUGCUGUGA